rnacentral:lncRNA from 1 species
ACUGCCUGGAUGGUUGGCUCCCCCUCUCACUGGACAAUCACUGGCAGUUAACUCACGCACUGCGUGAGCUCCGCAGAGGCUGGGGUGGAGAGAGACACUCGGGCUGCUCAAGCUUUGGAAAGUGGGAUCUCUGUUAGGUUUCUAUCUCUGUCUGUUUUGGUGGACUAUUAGAUGAGUGCUGAGGAAAUCUCUGGCUCUCUCUCCUCCAGCACUUACCACUGACCACCACCACUGUGCUGCAUCCAUGACUUUACAUACCUGGCUGGUGCAUGGGCUUGGAUUUAUCUUGGUUUGGGCACUCAGCUUGAAACAGGUCCAAGGGCUGCAGUGCUAUGGCUGCAACAUCAUCCAGGGCCAGAGGUAUGUGGACGUGGGCUGCUCCAACCCAGAGGUCAUCACCUGCACCCACUCACACAAAGGCUUCAAACAUCGUUUCUGCAUCAAGACAGAGAGCACGGCCCUGGGUAUCGUCCUGACCAGUGGUUGUGCCACAUCCAGACACUGCCAGCAACAUGAGCUGCCAGGGGUGCGCAUCCACUGCUGUGACUCAGAUCUAUGUAACAGCGCCCCCUCCUGGCAUCCAAACACACUCCACUACCUCUGUGCACUGUUCAGCCUCUUGCUGCUGAGGAUGUGGUCGUGAUAUGGAGUCAGUCCGGGGAGGAGCAAACCAUACAACAGCAGUGUGGACUAUGGGAGAAACAACAACUCUCAUCUCGUCUCUUAGCUGCUCAUGUUAAAGGCUGAAUGAGAGUUUUACAAGAUGUGGUGUUACUGACGAACACCUUGAAAUAGUAGCUUUUGUCACAUUGUUAGCUUGGACUUACAGCCAGAGGCGGUGGAAAAAUAAACCUGUGAAUAUGCUUGAUCAAAAUAUGAUGAAGCAGCUUGCUGUCAUCAGUGAAUUUAUUGUGCACAUCCAUUCACUCAAAUGUAGAUGAAGUACAGUAUAUGGGAUAUUAUGGGACAUGUGUUGCCAUGAAAUAAAGAUAUUUGAUAGUUAUAAUGUCACAUCAUACAUCAAACAGACAUCUUGUAUCAGCAAUAGAGAUACACACUAACCUUUUUCUUUUUAUAAAGGCUUACAUCCACUUGUAGGCAUGUAGGCUCUGUGAGGCAUAAUUAAAUGUUCUCUGUUAAGGAGUUUAUCAUCUUUUUCAAGCUCAAAUCAUUGUGUGCAGUAUGUUCUUUUAAAGUCACAGGCUAUUUAGUUUGCUAAAUUAAAGAUAUUUUUUUAGUUUGCUGUUCAGUUCUACAGGCUACGCUUGGGGAAGCACACUGCAUGUGGUUCUAUGUAGGAUUGUAAGAAAUAUUGUACAGUGAAAGCAUGUAAUGUUGUGAAUUACUGUAUUAAAAUGUUUCAUAUUUUUCAAAAGAAAAAUGCAUUGAAAUUGGAUUGUUUGUCAUACCUAGUCAC